UACGUAGGGCGCAAGCGUUGUCCGGAAUUAUUGGGCGUAAAGAGCUCGUAGGUGGUUUGUCGCGUCUGCCGUGAAAACCCGAGGCUUAACCUCGGGCUGGCGGUGGAUACGGGCAGACUAGAGGUAGGUAGGGGAGAACGGAAUUCCCGGUGUAGCGGUGAAAUGCGCAGAUAUCGGGAGGAACACCGGUGGCGAAGGCGGUUCUCUGGGCCUUACCUGACGCUGAGGAGCGAAAGCGUGGGGAG
rnacentral:rRNA from 1 species